rnacentral:rRNA from 1 species
AGCAUGGGGAGCGAACAGGAUUAGAUACCCUGGUAGUCCAUGCCGUAAACGUUGGGAACUAGAUGUAGGGACCUUCCAGGUUUCUGUGUCGUAGCUAACGCAUUAAGUUCCCCGCCUGGGGAGUACGGCGCAAGCUAAAACUCAAAGGAAUUGACGGGGGCCCGCACAAGCGGCGGAGCAUGCGGAUUAAUUCGAUGCAACGCGAAGAACCUUACCAAGGCUUGACAUAACGAGAACGGGCGAGAGAUCGUCAACUCUUUGGACUCGUAUACAGGUGGUGCAUGGUUGUCGUCAGCUCGUGUCGUGAGAUGUUCGGUUAAGUCCGGCAACGAGCGCAACCCUCGUCCUAUGUUGCCAGCACGUUAUGGUGGGAACUCAUGGGAUACUGCCGUGGUCAACACGGAGGAAGGUGGGGAUGACGUCAAAUCAUCAUGCCCCUUAUGUCUUGGGCUUCACGCAUGCUACAAUGGCCGAUACAAAGGGCUGCGAUACCGCGAGGUGGAGCGAAUCCCAGAAAGUCGGUCUCAGUUCGGAUUGGGGUCUGCAACUCGACCCCAUGAAGUCGGAGUCGCUAGUAAUCGCAGAUCAGCACGCUGCGGUGAAUACGUUCCCGGGCCUUGUACACACCGCCCGUCAAGUCAUGAAAGUCGGUAACACCCGAAGCCGGUGGCCUAACCUUUUGGAGGGAGCCGUCGAAGGUGGGACUGGUGAUUAGGACUAAGUCGUAACAAGGUAACCA